GCCAGUCUUCCUCAGCAAAAAGAGGAGGACUGGCAGCAGUUAGCUCAGGGCUAAUCUUCCUCAAAAAAAAAAAAAGAUGUGUUCACUCCUCCUCCUGUCCCGUCCCCUCUUGUCCCCAUGAGGAACGAUAGCCUAGAGAGUUUUACAACUCAUUUAACUCAAGAGGCAAUAAGACUUUGGGAAGGAAACUGAUUUCAGGGAUAGGGUUAGAACAAAGUUUCAAAAGCAGCUAUCCACCAGCGGUGUGUGUGUGUGUGUGUGUGUGUGUGUGUGUGUGUAUAACCUGUUGCCCAUGAAAGGACCACAGUCAUCCAUUUUUUAAAGUGAAAUAUAAUUAUUAGUAAUUGCAUUAAAGUAAGUUUGGGCACGUGGGUGAAUACACUAAACCCUUAAUGAGCAUGAGAGCCUUUAUGCUAAGAGGCUUGUUUGGGUCCUACAAAUUCAGGAGUUACCUGAAGUUACAAGGGACGAGGCCAGUCUGGGGUUUUUUCCCUUUAUUUUUUAAAAAAUUCUUCUAAAUUUAAUUUUUUCAGGCUCUGAGCUCUGUACAGAUUUUGUUCAUAUUAAAGUCAUAGCAGAAAUAAUAUACUUGUUUAGAAAAAUAUCUUGUGAACUCUUUGGCUGACGUGUUUAAUUUUCUCUUCAACUACUUCCCGAUUUAGAAUAUUUGAGCGCUAGAAAUAAUCAGGAGCAACUCGGCUUGAUUUCAUUUAAUGACCCUCAGACUGGAGCUUUGCAAAGUGCAGCUGAAGUGCAUGUCCGAGCAGAA